rnacentral:rRNA from 1 species
CCUACGGGAGGCAGCAGUGGGGAAUUUUGGACAAUGGGGGCAACCCUGAUCCAGCCAUUCCGCGUGAGUGAAGAAGGCCUUCGGGUUGUAAAGCUCUUUCGCAAGGGAAGAAAACUUAUGAUCGAAUAAAUCAUGAGGUUGACGGUACCUUGAUAAGAAGCACCGGCUAACUACGUGCCAGCAGCCGCGGUAAUACGUAGGGUGCGAGCGUUAAUCGGAAUUACUGGGCGUAAAGCGUGCGCAGGCGGUUUUGUAAGUCGGAUGUGAAAUCCCCGGGCUCAACCUGGGAACUGCGUUCGAAACUGCAAGGCUAGAGUGUGUCAGAGGGGGGUAGAAUUCCACGUGUAGCAGUGAAAUGCGUAGAGAUGUGGAGGAAUACCAAUGGCGAAGGCAGCCCCCUGGGAUAACACUGACGCUCAUGCACGAAAGCGUGGGGAGCAAACAGGAUUAGAUACCCUGGUAGUCCACGCCCUAAACGAUGUCAACUAGUUGUUGGUAGAGUAAAAUCUAUGAGUAACGUAGCUAACGCGUGAAGUUGACCGCCUGGGGAGUACGGUCGCAAGAUUAAAACGUUAAAGGAAUUGACGG